UACGGAGGGGGCUAGCGUUGUUCGGAAUUACUGGGCGUAAAGCGCACGUAGGCGGCUUUGUAAGUUAGAGGUGAAAGCCCGGGGCUCAACUCCGGAAUUGCCUUUAAGACUGCAUCGCUAGAAUUGUGGAGAGGUAAGUGGAAUUCCGAGUGUAGAGGUGAAAUUCGUAGAUAUUCGGGAAGAACACCAGUGGCGAAGGCGACUUACUGGACAC
rnacentral:rRNA from 1 species